CGACAACCACUAUCGAAAUCGUGCCGUUUCACUGCCUCACCCUGUAUUUGUAAGCAUUUCUGCAAAUUUUGAAGAGUUGAAAAAAUUCCAGAUGGUAUUUCCGUUAUAUCAUUUCCUGAGAGGUUCCUGGAACAUAGAGAUUGGCAGCUAAGGUCACAAAAAUUAUUUUGUUCUUCACAUAAUUAAGAUACUAAUGAUGUAAGCAGUAGUUGCGUUUUUAAAAAAAAUACAUGUAGAUACAAAGACUUUCAUGCUAUUGGAAUAAUCCAACAGACAAUGACAUGUAAAAUAAUUUUGUUGUAUAUUAGGGUCAAUUCUUUGAAAGUCAACUUGCAAAUAAUGUCUGUUAACAGAUAAGCAUUAAAUUUACACACGCUGGACGGGAGAAAAGGUCUACCUGUAACAACAAGUAUUAAAAUAAAUGUCUGAUGUAAAGUAAUCAAUUCAUCAACUCGACUUGUAACAAAAUAAGUAGUCUAUAGUUAGAUCCCAAAUGCGGUGUAUUUUAAUUUUGCGGUAAGUUCAGGUUUUGUAUGUUAUACUGCAAAACAGACAACACACUAGUCUACAGAGAAUGACUAUUAAUUUUGUGACAAUAUUAUUUUUUGAAAAUGUCUGAGGAAAAAGAAUUCAUAAUAUUACUGCUUUACAUCUAGGUCGCCUACAAAAUACAGUACCAGUCACUGUUUGCCAGAACACCUGGUGUAUGACAGGUGAACCAGAAAUUUCAGUUCCAAACUUUUAUCUCCACAUGAGCUCUCUGAAUUUAAAAAUGAGCUACCAUUUUAUGAGUAAUGCCUCUCUCGUAGAUGCUCACACUGACUAUGAAACACCUCUGUAAUGUUCUCAUGCUGACCAAAUAAAAUAUUUACAACUGCAA